GUGGAUGUGCCAAAGUGGUUAUCUAGUAUAACUAGAAAUCAUGUGGGUUCUGCCUGCGCAGGUUCGAAUCCUGCCACUCAAG